UAACGGUGAAAAAUUCAGAAAGAAUUUUAAUUAUUUUGCUAACGAAAAUAUCAUUUAAUUUUCUAGCUAAAUUUUGAGAUUAUGUGAGUUAAAUUCUAUUUAGUUUUAGGCAUUCGUUGUGGUAAUACUCUAGCUAAUAAAAUUAAAACCACGAGCUACCUGGCUUUUGCAGCAAAUGAAUAUCAUUUUAGACAUUCAUGCGGAAAUCAAUUGGCUGGAGGAAAAAUGUGUCGCAGAAUACGGAUAAUAACUCAUCUUUAAAAUUAACAAAUGUUUUAUAGAUAAUUUAUUUAUAAAUGUGAAUAAAAAGUGAAGUACAAG